AACUCUUCAGCGAGUUGUAGUCUAGGAACGGUGCGUCACGGGUAACUGUGGGGUGCUAAGCGUUCUGACAAUGUAGCCCCAUUUUAUGGUGUGUAUAUCUCGUGAGAGUGUACAUGGAACCUGCAAGUAUCGUGCGGGUGAGG
rnacentral:ncRNA from 1 species